rnacentral:rRNA from 1 species
GUUUGAUCAUGGCUCAGGAUGAACGCUAGCGGCAGGCCUAACACAUGCAAGUCGAGGGGUAGGGGGUGCUUGCACCCCUGAGACCGGCGCACGGGUGCGGAACGCGUAUGGAACCUGCCCCUGUCAGGGGAAUAGCCCAGGGAAACUUGGAUUAAUGCCCCAUGGUAUCAUUACAUCGCAUGAUGUUGUGAUUAAAGAUUUAUCGGACAGGGAUGGCCAUGCGUACCAUUAGCUUGAUGGUGGGGUAACGGCCCACCAUGGCAACGAUGGUUAGGGGCCCUGAGAGGGGGAUCCCCCACACUGGUACUGAGACACGGACCAGACUCCUACGGGAGGCAGCAGUGAGGAAUAUUGGACAAUGGUCGGAAGACUGAUCCAGCCAUGCCGCGUGCAGGAUGACGGCCCUAUGGGUUGUAAACUGCUUUUAUACGGGAAGAAACCCACCUACGUGUAGGUGGCUGACGGUACCGUAAGAAUAAGGACCGGCUAACUCCGUGCCAGCAGCCGCGGUAAUACGGAGGGUCCGAGCGUUAUCCGGAAUCAUUGGGUUUAAAGGGUCCGUAGGCGGGCCUGUAAGUCAGGGGUGAAAGUUUGUGGCUCAACCAUAAAAUUGCCUUUGAUACUGCAGGUCUUGAGUCAUGGUGGGGUUGCCGGAACAUGUGGUGUAGCGGUGAAAUGCAUAGAUAUCACAUAGAACACCGAUCGCGAAGGCAGGUGACCAACCAUGUACUGACGCUGAUGGACGAAAGCGUGGGUAGCGAACGGGAUUAGAUACCCCGGUAGUCCACGCCGUAAACGAUGGAUACUAGCUGUGGGGACAUUGUCUCCGUGGCCAACCGAAAGUGAUAAGUAUCCCACCUGGGGAGUACGACCGCAGGUUGAAACUCAAGGAAUUGACGGGGCCCGCACAAGCGGUGGAGCAUGUGUUUAAUUCGAUGAUCUGCGAGGACCUUACCAGGCUUAAAUGUAGUCUGACAGCUUUAGAGAUAGAGUUUUCUCGACGAUACAAGUGCUGCAUGCUGUCGUCAGCUCGUGCGUGAGGUCAGUAGUCCUAUACGAAGCCAUCCUGUCCUAGCUGCCAGCAUGCAUGAUGGUACCUACGGAACUGCGUUCAUCGUAGCACGUGCGAGUACGUCAUACAUCCAUGUCCUAUGA